GACAAACGCUGGCGGCGUGCCUAAUACAUGCAAGUAGAACGCUGAAGAGAGGAGCUUGCUCUUCUUGGAUGAGUUGCGAACGGGUGAGUAACGCGUAGGUAACCUGCCUUGUAGCGGGGGAUAACUAUUGGAAACGAUAGCUAAUACCGCAUAACAAUGGAUGACACAUGUCAUUUAUUUGAAAGGGGCAAUUGCUCCACUACAAGAUGGACCUGCGUUGUAUUAGCUAGUAGGUGAGGUAAUGGCUCACCUAGGCGACGAUACAUAGCCGACCUGAGGGUGAUCGGCCACACUGGGACUGAGACACGGCCCAGACUCCUACGGGAGGCAGCAGUAGGGAAUCUUCGGCAAUGGGGGCAACCCUGACCGAGCAACGCCGCGUGAGUGAAGAAGGUUUUCGGAUCGUAAAGCUCUGUUGUAAGUCAAGAACGGGUGUGAGAGUGGAAAGUUCACACUGUGACGGUAGCUUACCAGAAAGGGACGGCUAACUACGUG
rnacentral:rRNA from 1 species